GUUAGGGUUAGGGUUGGAGUUAGGGUUAGUGUUGGAGCUAGGGUUAGGGUUGGGCUUGGAGCUAGGAUUUUUCUGAGUGCAAUGAACCAACUCCCGAGUCUCUUGGAUGUUCCUAAAAAAAUUUGAUUUUUUCCCAUAGGAAUGCAUGGGUUAUGGUUAGGGUUAGGGUUGGAGCUAGGGUUAGGGUUAGGGUUAGGGUUGGAGUUAGGGUUAGUGUUGGAGCUAGGGUUAGGGUUGGGCUUGGAGCUAGGAUUUUUCUGAGUGCACUGAACCAACUCCCGAGUCUCUAGGACAUUCCUAAAAAAAUUUGAUUUUUU